GUCGUAACAAGGUUUCCGUAGGUGAACCAGCGGAGGGAUCAUUACCGAGUUUACAACUCCCAAACCCCUGUGAACAUACCACUUGUUGCCUCGGCGGAUCAGCCCGCUCCCGGUAAAACGGGACGGCCCGCCAGAGGACCCCUAAACUCUGUUUCUAUAUGUAACUUCUGAGUAAAACCAUAAAUAAAUCAAAACUUUCAACAACGGAUCUCUUGGUUCUGGCAUCGAUGAAGAACGCAGCAAAAUGCGAUAAGUAAUGUGAAUUGCAGAAUUCAGUGAAUCAUCGAAUCUUUGAACGCACAUUGCGCCCGCCAGUAUUCUGGCGGGCAUGCCUGUUCGAGCGUCUUUUCAACCCUCAAGCCCUCGGGUUUGGUGUUGGGGAUCGGCGAGCCCUUUGCGGCAAGCCGGCCCCGAAAUCUAGUGGCGGUCUCGCUGCAGCUUCCAUUGCGUAGUAGUAAAACCCUCGCAACUGGUACGCGGCGCGGCCAAGCCGUUAAACCCCCAACUUCUGAAUGUUGACCUCGGAUCAGGUAGGAAUACCCGCUGAACUUAAGCAUAUCAAUAAGCGGAGGAAAAGAAACCAACAGGGAUUGCCCUAGUAACUGCGAGUGAAAGCGGGAAA
rnacentral:rRNA from 1 species